UGGGGAAUAUUGGACAAUGGGCGCAAGCCUGAUCCAGCAAUGCCGCGUGUGUGAAGAAGGCCUGCGGGUUGUAAAGCACUUUCAGUGGGGAGGAAGGCCUCGGCGUUAAUAUCGUCGAGGAUUGACGUUACCUACAGAAGAAGCACCGGCUAACUCUGUGCCAGCAGCCGCGGUAAUACAGAGGGUGCAAGCGUUAAUCGGAAUUACUGGGCGUAAAGGGCGCGUAGGUGGUUAAUUAAGUCAGAUGUGAAAUCCCCGGGCUUAACCUGGGAAUUGCAUUUGAAACUGAUUGGCUAGAGUACGGGAGAGGGAAGUGGAAUUUCCGGGGUAGCGGUGAAAUGCGUAGAUAUCGGAAGGAACACCAGUGGCGAAGGCGACUUCCUGGCCCGUUACUGACACUGAGGCGCGAAAGCGUGGGGAGCGAACA
rnacentral:rRNA from 1 species